rnacentral:rRNA from 1 species
UACGGAGGUCCGAAGCGUUAUCCGGAUUUAUUGGGUUAAAGGGUGCGUAGGCGGCCUAUUAAGGUCAGAGGUGAAAGACGGUAAGCUCAACUAUCGCAGUGCCUUUGAUUAACUGAUGGGCUUGAAUGAACUAGAGGUAGGCGGAAUGAGACAAGUAGCGGUAAAAUGCAUAGAUAUGUCUCAGAACACCGAUUGCGAAGGCAG